rnacentral:rRNA from 1 species
GAUGAACGCUGGCUGUGUGCCUAAUACAUGCAUGUCGAACGAAGCACUUGUGCUUAGUGGCGAAUGGGUGAGUAACACGUACUUAAUCUACCUCUAGGUUUGGGACAACAUUUAGAAAUGAAUGCUAAUACCGAAUACACCUAUUCCUCGCAUGAGGAAUUGGUAAAAGACCCGUUUGGGUUGCUGAGAGAUGAGAGUGCGGUACAUUAGUUAGUUGGUAGGGUAAAGGCCUACCAAGACGAUGAUGUAUAGCGGGGUUGAGAAGCUGAACCGCCACACUGGGACUGAGAUAUGGCCCAGACUCCUACGGGAGGCAGCAGUAGGGAAUAUUCCACAAUGAGCGAAAGCUUGAUGGAGCGACACAGCGUGCAGGAUGAAGGUCUUCGGAUUGUAAACUGCUGUUAUAAGGGAAGAAAACCGGUGUAGGAAAUGACAUCGGCUUGACGGUACCUUAUCAGAAAGCACCGGCAAACUAUGUGCCAGCCGCCGCC